rnacentral:rRNA from 1 species
ACACUCCUACGGGAGGCAGCAGUGGGGAAUAUUGGACAAUGGGCGCAAGCCUGAUCCAGCCAUGCCGCGUGAGUGAUGAAGGCCCUAGGGUUGUAAAGCUCUUUCACCGGUGAAGAUAAUGACGGUAACCGGAGAAGAAGCCCCGGCUAACUUCGUGCCAGCAGCCGCGGUAAUACGAAGGGGGCUAGCGUUGUUCGGAUUUACUGGGCGUAAAGCGCACGUAGGCGGACUAUUAAGUCAGGGGUGAAAUCCCGGGGCUCAACCCCGGAACUGCCUUUGAUACUGGUAGUCUUGAGUUCGAGAGAGGUGAGUGGAAUUCCGAGUGUAGAGGUGAAAUUCGUAGAUAUUCGGAGGAACACCAGUGGCGAAGGCGGCUCACUGGCUCGAUACUGACGCUGAGGUGCGAAAGCGUGGGGAGCAAACAGGAUUAGAUACCCCGGUAGUCCCAU